rnacentral:rRNA from 1 species
UAACGACUCUCGGCAACGGAUAUCUCGGCUCUCGCAUCGAUGAAGAACGUAGCGAAAUGUGAUACUUGGUGUGAAUUGCAGAAUCCCGUGAACCAUCGAGUCUUUGAACGCAAGUUGCGCCUGAAGCCAUCAGGCUGAGGGCACGUCUGCUUGGGCGUC